rnacentral:tRNA from 1 species
GCCAACUUAGCUCAAUCGGCAGAGCGAUCGCUUCGUAAGCGAUAGGUUAUGGGUUCAACUCCCAUAGUUGGCU